rnacentral:lncRNA from 1 species
CACUAACCUCACCAGGAUAAUCAUUAUACUUCAGCAUCAAAGACAAUGAAUAACUAUGAAGUGAUACACUAUGGACGCAGUGAUCAAAUCCUCUUCCUUCGUGCUGAUGGCGGAAGACUUUUGGCUUUGAGACUAGCUUCCUUGUUGGGUAAAGCGCCAAGAGGCCAGGUACAUUCACUGACCGAUGAGGCUCGUUAUCACCAUGGUAACACCAAGGCAAAGGCUUGCAGAGUGGAUUCAGUGGUGCGCCAACCGAAGAAAAGGCGUGGAUGCUUCGCAGUGGGUUGAGCAUGUGCUGGAUGAUGAUUAUCACCGAUGAUGUCUCCAUGGCAACACACACCAAGCAACAGCGUCUACUUUUGAGGAACGCAAGGCUGCUUGAUUGCAAUUCUUUGGGGAGGGCUGCCACUGUGAGUUCCACAUGCUUUGGUUUGACAGGUUUGGGUUGUUCAACCUGCACAGCGCAUGCCGCCUGCCCUGCUGGUGUCAGUCCAGUCACACAGACAUGACAGAGUCUACAUGUUAUGCAUGUACAUGAGGAAGUCAGAGUAAGAGAAGAUUAUGGAUCAACGAAUGGCUGAUGUUUGGCAGCAUCACCAGAGAGAGCAGAACAUGACUUGGAUGAGUUCAGCCACAUAGAGAAUGAUGAAGAUGACUCUGACGUUAGCCGUAGCAGAGACAAUAAGAAGCAAGCGCAGAAGAAACGCAAAUUCCAGUGAGGACUCUGGUGACAGCAACCGUGACAGUGAUGAGGAACAAGAACAGUGGAUGGAGAAACCAGCAGGUGUUCAAGGGGACAGCACCAUGGUUGGUCCCCCUCCUGUGGGCUCAUCUUCUGGCAUCACUGCCGUGAUAGACUAAGGCGAUAACAGCGUGGUCGGUCCCCUUCCUGUGAGCUCAUCUUCUGGCAUCACCACCUUGACACAAUUUGGGCAGACCUCCUUGCAAUCGCUGCCUACGUUGAGGCUGGCUAACUUUUCCUGCGUACGGUGCAACUGGACUGACCAGCGAUGAAAUCUCCAAUGUUGAAGACACAGGCCUUACAUUGUGAACAGUAGCAGACUUUGUUAUACAGAAGCUGUGCAUAUGCCCAAGGAAGACCAGACCAUGGUGCAGAUUAGAAGAGCGCCCUCGCCUCCUUCAACCUUUUGGAGGCAAGAUGGAGGACAAGAUCCUAUAGGGCUUCCCUGAGAUGAUUCAUGAGAAUAUCAAGGAGAGGAACUCGGAUAAAUGCCAAUCCUCACCUCCGUCACU